rnacentral:rRNA from 1 species
AUUGAACGCUGGCGGCAGGCCUAACACAUGCAAGUCGAACGGUAACAGGAAACAGCUUGCUGUUUCGCUGACGAGUGGCGGACGGGUGAGUAAUGUCUGGGAAACUGCCUGAUGGAGGGGGAUAACUACUGGAAACGGUAGCUAAUACCGCAUAACGCCGCAAGACCAAAGAGGGGGACCUUCGGGCCUUUUGCCAUCGGAUGUGCCCAGAUGGGAUUAGCUAGUAGGUGGGGUAACGGCUCACCUAGGCGACGAUCCCUAGCUGGUCUGAGAGGAUGACCAGCCACACUGGAACUGAGACACGGUCCAGACUCCUACGGGAGGCAGCAGUGGGGAAUAUUGCACAAUGGGCGCAAGCCUGAUGCAGCCAUGCCGCGUGUAUGAAGAAGGCCUUCGGGUUGUAAAGUACUUUCAGCGGGGAGGAAGGGAGUAAAGUUAAUACCUUUGCUCAUUGACGUUACCCGCAGAAGAAGCACCGGCUAACUCCGUGCCAGCCGCCGCCGUAA